AUUGAACGCUGGCGGCAUGCCUUACACAUGCAAGUCGAACGGCAGCACGGGGGCAACCCUGGUGGCGAGUGGCGAACGGGUGAGUAACAUAUCGGAACAUACCCUAGAGUGGGGGAUAACGUAGCGAAAGUUACGCUAAUACCGCAUACGAUCUAAGGAUGAAAGUGGGGGAUCUUCGGACCUCAUGCUCAUGGAGUGGCCGAUAUCUGAUUAGCUAGUUGGUGAGGUAAAGGCUCACCAAGGCGACGAUCAGUAGCUGGUUUGAGAGAACGACCAGCCACACUGGAACUGAGACACGGUCCAGACUCCUACGGAGGCAGCAGUGGGGAAUUUUGGACAAUGGGGGCGACCCUGAUCCAGCAAUGCCGCGUGAGUGAAGAAGGCCUCGGGUUGGUAAAGGUACUCUUUUGUUCUAGGGAAGAAACGGUAGGA
rnacentral:rRNA from 1 species